CGGGUUCCGGGGGGAGUAUGGUCGCAAGGCCGAAACUUAAGGAAUUGACGGAAGGGCACCACCAGGAGUGGAAUCUGCGGCUUAAUUUGACCCAACGCGGGAAAACUCACCAGGUCAGGACACGGUAAGGAUUGACGGACUGAAGGCUCUUUCUCGAUUCCGUGGAAAGUGGUGCAUGGCCGUUUUUGGUUGGUGGAUCGAUCCGUCUGGUUAAUUCCGUUAACGAACGAGACCUCGGCACUCCGAAUAGCGCGGCGGACGUCGCGGCCUCCGGGCCGUCUUCCGCACGAGCUUCUUAGAGGGACCGUCCCCCGCCGGGGAAGGAGGUGCGAGGCAACGACAGGUCUGUGAUGCCCUUAGAUGUUCUGGGCCGCACGCGCAUUACACUGACGCGUCCAACGGGUGACUCCCGACCCGAAGGGGCCGGGGAAUCCGCAAGGCGCGUCGUGAUGGGGAUUGAACGUUGCAAUUGUUGUUCACGAACGAGGAAUUCCUAGUAGGCGCGGGUCAUCAACCCGCGCCGAUUACGUCCCUGCCC
rnacentral:rRNA from 1 species